CGGAAACAGAACAAUUUUAAAAAAUCUACAAAAGCAUAUAACAAAGGAAAUAAACAACAAAAGUGAUUGUCAGUAGAAGAUGUAUAAUGUAAUCACUGAGUCCACAAUAAUGUGUUUUCAAUUUUUUUUCUUUAACAGUUCGAUGGAGGGCUCAUCUCUUAGAUUUCAAGUAAGAUUGUUCAAGAGAAUCGCAGUAGCAUUGACGAAACAUCUUUCUUCGUAAGUUUUGGCGUUUUCACGUGGUUGUAUUAGUAGCAUUGCAUUUUUUUGUUGAUGGUUAAUAGGCGCUUAAAUGGUUCUCAAGAUAUACAACGCUACUCCAUGUAGAAUUUCGAAAUAAAAAAAAAGUUUCUUGAUACACGAAACAAGUAUAGCUGCUGUAUUCUGUUCUCUGAACUUCACUUUUUUAUAGAAGAUGAUUUUCGUAGUCGAGACUUGACGUGACAAGCGACCAGAUUGUUGUUUUACAGGCAUCCUUGUUGACGUAUGCCGAAUGGACAUUGUCUCGAAUU
rnacentral:lncRNA from 1 species